rnacentral:rRNA from 1 species
AACGAACGCUGGCGGCAUGCCUAACACAUGCAAGUCGAACGAGACCUUCGGGUCUAGUGGCGCACGGGUGCGUAACGCGUGGGAACCUGCCCUUAGGUUCGGAAUAACUCCCCGAAAGGGGUGCUAAUACCGGAUAAUGUCUUCGGCCCAAAGAUUUAUCGCCUUUGGAUGGGCCCGCGUUGGAUUAGCUAGUUGGUAGGGUAAAAGCCUACCAAGGCGACGAUCCAUAGCUGGUCUGAGAGGAUGAUCAGCCACACUGGGACUGAGACACGGCCCAGACUCCUACGGGAGGCAGCAGUGGGGAAUAUUGGACAAUGGGCGAAAGCCUGAUCCAGCAAUGCCGCGUGAGUGAUGAAGGCCUUAGAGUUGUAAAGCUCUUUUACCCGGGAUGAUAAUGACAGUACCGGGAGAAUAAGCUCCGGCUAACUCCGUG